CAAGCGGUGGAGCAUGUGGUUUAAUUCGAUGCAACGCGAAGAACCUUACCUACUCUUGACAUCCAGCGAACUUAGCAGAGAUGCUUUGGUGCCUUCGGGAACGCUGAGACAGGUGCUGCAUGGCUGUCGUCAGCUCGUGUUGUGAAAUGUUGGGUUAAGUCCCGCAACGAGCGCAACCCUUAUCCUUUGUUGCCAGCGAUACGGUCGGGGACUCAAAGGAGACUGCCGGUGAUAAACCGGAGGAAGGUGGGGAUGACGUCAAGUCAUCAUGGCCCUUACGAGUAGGGCUACACACGUGCUACAAUGGCGCAUACAAAGAGAAGCGACCUCGCGAGAGCAAGCGGACCUCAGAAAGUGCGUCGUAGUCCGGAUCGGAGUCUGCAACUCGACUCCGUGAAGUCGGAAUCGCUAGUAAUCGUGGAUCAGAAUGCCACGGUGAAUACGUUCCCGGGCCUUGUACACACC
rnacentral:rRNA from 1 species